GACGAACGCUGGCGGCGUGCUUAGCACAUGCAAGUCGAGCGAUGAAGCACCUUCGGGUGUGGAUUAGCGGCGAACGGGUGAGGAACACGUGAGGAAUCUGCCUUUCACUUCGGGAUAACUCCGGGAAACCGGGGCUAAUACCGGAUAUUUUCAGCUGACGGCAUCGCCGGUUGAAGAAAGUUUUUCGGUGAAAGAUGACCUCGCGGCCUAUCAGCUUGUUGGGGAGGUAAUGGCUCGGCAAGGCGACGACGGGUAGCCGGCCUGAGAGGGCGAUCGGCCACACUGGGACUGAGACACGGCCCAGACACCUACGGAAGGCAGCAGUGGGGAAUAUUGGGCAAUGGAGGAAACUCUGACCCAGCGACGCCGCGUGAGGGAUGAAGGCCUUCGGGUUGUAAACCUCUUUCAGCAGCGACGAAGCGAAAGUGACGGUAGGUGCAGAAGAAGGACCGGCCAACUACGUGCCAGCCGCCGCGGUAA
rnacentral:rRNA from 1 species